UGGGGAAUAUUGCACAAUGGGCGCAAGCCUGAUGCAGCCAUGCCGCGUGUGUGAAGAAGGCCUUCGGGUUGUAAAGCACUUUCAGCGGGGAGGAAGGCGUUAAGGUUAAUAACCUUGGCGAUUGACGUUACCCGCAGAAGAAGCACCGGCUAACUCCGUGCCAGCAGCCGCGGUAAUACGGAGGGUGCAAGCGUUAAUCGGAAUUACUGGGCGUAAAGCGCACGCAGGCGGUCUGUCAAGUCGGAUGUGAAAUCCCCGGGCUCAACCUGGGAACUGCAUUCGAAACUGGCAGGUUAGAGUCUUGUAGAGGGGGGUAGAAUUCCAGGUGUAGCGGUGAAAUGCGUAGAGAUCUGGAGGAAUACCGGUGGCGAAGGCGGCCCCCUGGACAAAGACUGACGCUCAGGUGCGAAAGCGUGGGGAGCAAACAGG
rnacentral:rRNA from 1 species